GAUCAUGGCUCAGAUUGAACGCUGGCGGCAUGCCUUACACAUGCAAGUCGAACGGCAGCACGGGUGCUUGCACCUGGUGGCGAGUGGCGAACGGGUGAGUAAUACAUCGGAACAUGUCCUGUAGUGGGGGAUAGCCCGGCGAAAGCCGGAUUAAUACCGCAUACGAUCUACGGAUGAAAGCGGGGGACCUUCGGGCCUCGCGCUAUAGGGUUGGCCGAUGGCUGAUUAGCUAGUUGG
rnacentral:rRNA from 1 species